ensembl:lncRNA
UGGGAAAGGAGUACAUCAAGGCUGUAUAUUGUCACUCUGCUUUUUUAACUUUUAUGUAGACUGCAUCAUGUGAAAUGCUGGGCUGGAUGAAGCACAAGCUGGAAUCAAGACUGCCAGCAGAAAUAUCAAUAACCUCUGAUAUGCAGAUGACUCCACCCAAUGGCAGAAAGCAAAGAGGAACCAUAGAGCCCCGUGAUGAAGGUGAAAGAGCUCCUGGAGACUGAGAAGCAUAAGGGAAAUUUUCAUGAGAAAAUAUUGAGUAUGAAGAAUUCUUCUGAAUAUAUUUAUUACACUUGAUACACUUGGCCAAAUGGAGACAUGCCUCCUGUUGAUUCACCAGGCAAUAGAAUGGGCAGUGGGAACCAGUCACAGAGAACUAAG